rnacentral:rRNA from 1 species
UACGUAGGAUGCAAGCGUUAUCCGGAAUGAUUGGGCGUAAAGCGUGCGUAGGCGGCACUGUAAGUCUGCUGUCAAAGCGUCUGGCUCAACCAGAUAAAGGCAGUGGAAACUACAUAGCUAGAGUAAGGUAGGGGUAGAGGGAAUUCCUGGUGUAGCGGUGAAAUGCGUAGAGAUCAGGAAGAACACCGGUGGCGAAAGCGCCCUGCUGGACCAAAACUGACACUGAGGGACGAAAGCUAGGGGAGCGAAUGGG